rnacentral:sRNA from 1 species
AGCAGCCGCGGUAAUUCCAGCUCCAAUAGCGUAUAUUAAAGUUGUUGCAGUUAAAAAGCUCGUAGUUGAAUUUCGGGGUUCUACCGUUGGUCGGGCUAUAGUCUGUACUGGCGUGUGGAAUUUCUACCUUCUGGGGAACUAUCAUGUUAUUAAUUUAGCGUGGUAGGAAACCAGAACCUUUACCUUGAAAAAAUUAGAGUGUUCAAAGCAGGCUUACGUCUGAAUACAUUAGCAUGGAAUAAUAAAAUAGGACGGUGGUCCUGUUUUGUUGGUUUCUGAAUCACCGUAAUGAUUAAUAGGGAUAGUUGGGGGCAUUAGUAUUCAAUUGUCAGAGGUGAAAUCCUUGGAUUUAUUGAAGACUAACUACUGCGAAAGCAUUUGCCAAGGAUGUUUUCAUUAAUCAAGAACGAAAGUUAGGGGAUCGAAGACGAUCAGAUACCGUCGUAGUCUUAACCAUAAACUAUGCCGACUAGGGAUCGGAUGAUGUUAAUUUUUAAUGAC